CCACCACAGUGUUCACCCCCCUGGAGUACGGCUGUGUGGGUCUCUCUGAGGAAGAGGCUGAGGAGAGGCAUGGGAAAGACGGCAUCGAGGUCUACCAUGCUUUCUACAAGCCUCUGGAGUUCUCUGUUGCAGAGCGCGAUGCCAGCCAGUGUUACUUAAAGGUGGUGUGUGAGCGGGGGGGAGACCAGAAGAUCCUGGGUCUGCACUUCACCGGUCCGAACGCAGGAGAGGUCACACAGGGCUUCGCUUUGGGCCUCCA